UACGUAGGGUCCGAGCGUUGUUCGGAAUUACUGGGCGUAAAGGGCUCGUAGGCGGCCAACUAAGUCCGACGUGAAAUCCCCAGGCUUAACCUGGGAACUGCGUCGGAUACUGGAUGGCUUGAAUUCGGGAGAGGGAUGCAGAAUUCCAGGUGUAGCGGUGAAAUGCGUAGAUAUCUGGAGGAAUACCGGUGGCGAAGGCGGCAUCCUGGACCGACAUUGACGCUGAUGAGCGAAAGCUAGGGGAGCAAACGGG
rnacentral:rRNA from 1 species